AGUUGGUCUGAGUGCAGUGGUGUUUGCAACUAAUUGAUCACAACCAGUUACAGAUUCCUUUGUUCCUUCUCCACUCCCACUGCUUCACUUGACCAGCCUUAA
rnacentral:Y_RNA from 1 species